rnacentral:rRNA from 1 species
UCAAUAGUCUUUUAAUUGAAGGCCAGAAUGAAUGGUUGAACGAGAGAGAAACUGUYUCUUAUUAAAUAAAUUGAAAUUUACUUUUAAGUGAAAAGGCUUAAAUAUAUUUAAGGGACGAUAAGACCCUAUAAAUCUUUAUAUUAAUUAAUUAUAUAUUUUAUAAAUAUUUUAUAUAAAUAAAAUAAAUAAUAAACAAUAUUUUAUUGGGGAGAUAUAAAUAUAAUAAAUAACUAUUCUACUUUUAUUACAAUAAUAAUUGAUUAUCCAUCAAAAAGAUCCUUUAUAUAAGACUUUAAGAUUAAGUUACUUUAGGGAUAACAGCGUUAUCUUUUUUGAGAGUCCUCAUCAAAAAAAAAAUUGCGACCUCGAUGUUGAAUUAAAAUAUCUUUAUGGUGCAGAAGCUAUAUAAGAAAGUCUGUUCGACUUUUAAAAUUUUACGUGAUC